rnacentral:rRNA from 1 species
GAUGAACGCUGGCGGCGUGCCUAAUACAUGCAAGUCGAGCGAAUGGAUUAAGAGCUUGCUCUUAUGAAGUUAGCGGCGGACGGGUGAGUAACACGUGGGUAACCUGCCCAUAAGACUGGGAUAACUCCGGGAAACCGGGGCUAAUACCGGAUAACAUUUUGAACCGCAUGGUUCGAAAUUGAAAGGCGGCUUCGGCUGUCACUUAUGGAUGGACCCGCGGCGCAUUAGCUAGUUGGUGAGGGAACGGCUCACCAAGGCAACGAUGCGUAGCCGACCUGAGAGGGUGAUCGGCCACACUGGGACUGAGACACGGCCCAGACUCCUACGGGAGGCAGCAGUAGGGAAUCUUCCGCAAUGGACGAAAGUCUGACGGAGCAACGCCGCGUGAGUGAUGAAGGCUUUCGGGUCGUAAAACUCUGUUGUUAGGGAAGAACAAGUGCUAGUUGAAUAAGCUGGCACCUUGACGGUACCUAACCAGAAGGCCACGGCUAACUACGUGCCAGCCGCCGCCGUAA